UACGUAGGCAGCAAGCGUUGUUCGGAUUUACUGGGCGUAAAGGGUGCGUAGGCGGCGCGGUAAGUCGGGUGUGAAAUCUCGGAGCUUAACUCCGAAGCUGCAUUCGAUACUGCCGUGCUUGAGGACUGGAGAGGAGACUGGAAUUUACGGUGUAGCGGUGAAAUGCGUAGAUAUCGUAAGGAAGACCAGUGGCGAAGGCGGGUCUCUGGACAGUUCCUGACGCUGAGGCACGAAGGUCAGGGGAGCAAACGGG
rnacentral:rRNA from 1 species